rnacentral:rRNA from 1 species
UACAGAGGGGGCAAGCGUUGUUCGGAAUUACUGGGCGUAAAGCGCGUGUAGGCGGCUUGGCAAGUCGGGUGUGAAAGCCCUGGGCUCAACCUAGGAAGUGCACUCGAAACUGCUUCGCUUGAGUGUCGGAGAGGAAAGCGGAAUUCUCGGUGUAGAGGUGAAAUUCGUAGAUAUCGAGAGGAACACCGGUGGCGAAGGCGGCUUUCUGGACGAUAACUGACGCUGAGACGCGAAAGCGUGGGGAGCAAACAGG